UACGUAGGGUGCGAGCGUUAAUCGGAAUUACUGGGCGUAAAGCGUGCGCAGGCGGUUGUGCAAGACAGAUGUGAAAUCCCCGGGCUCAACCUGGGAAUUGCGUUGGAGACUGCAAGGCUAGAAUCUGGCAGAGGGGGGGUAGAAUUCCACGUGUAGCAGUGAAAUGCGUAGAGAUGUGGAGGAACACCGAUGGCGAAGGCAAUCCCCUGGGCCUGUACUGACGCUCAUGCACGAAAGCGUGGGAGCAACAGG
rnacentral:rRNA from 1 species